AUGAGCUCCCAGAAAGGCAACGUGCCUCAUUCCAGGCCUCAGAAGCACCAGAAUAUAUUUAGCUUCAAAAAUGACAAUUUGAUAAGCAUGUUUAGACCAAGAAAAGUAACACAAAACCAUGCCUCCUGAUGGAGUAUGUCAGCGCUGUAAAGAAGUUCUUGAGUGGCAUGUAAAAUAUAGCAAAUACAAACCAUUAUCCAACCUAAAAAAUGUGUUAAAUGUUUACAAAAGACAGUGGAGGAUUCUUAUCUCAUAACGUGUAGACCAUGUGCCUAUGAACUUGAAGUUUGCGCAAAAUGUGGGAAGAAGAAGACAUUGCUAUUCUGAGUUUUGUUCUUGUCACCCAGGCUGGAGUGCAAUGGCGCCAUCUUGGCUCACUGCAACCUUUGCCUCCCGGAUUCAAGCGAUUCUCCUGCCUCAGCCUCCCGAGUAGUUGGGAUUACAAGUGCCCACCAUCGUGCCGGCCAAUUUUUUUGCAUUUUUAGUAGAGAUGGGGUUUCGCCAUGUUGGUCAGGCUGGUCUCGAGCUCCUGACCCCAGGUGA
rnacentral:lncRNA from 10 species